AACUCUGGCAGAUCUAAUUGACCUCUUAGACAGGUAGGUAGUAAAGAUGAGGACUAUUUUUUCUUCCCCUUAGUUUUUGUGCUACCUGCCAUGCUGAUCAAACAAUACUGUUGCCUGACUGGGAACUCCAGAGUUAUACCACAGCCUAAGCAGCUCUCUUUUCCCCAGUUCUCAUAUAACUCAUUAUGUGCAUAGAACUUAAGUGAUGCUUGGCAGAGAUGGAAACUGCAUAGAAAACACCCACGUCCCAGUCCAAAAGAUACAUUUGCUUAACCAGGAACACUGGAUGCCGAAUAGCCAUGUGUGCAAGUACUCCUGUCUUAACUAGCCUGCCUCCAAAUCCUUCCAAUGACCUCCUCAUGCUCCCUCAUCUGCCCUGUUCUCUGAUGUCACAGGGACUUCUUCAGUGCCUUCCACACUUGCCAAUAAAUGAAAUGGAGCAGCCUGGCACAAAGACUGUGAGCCAUCCACCAAAAGUUUAAGCAGAGUCUGGUGGUCUGCAGGGAGGAAGCCAUCUGCUCUUAACUACAUUUCCAGUGGCCAAAGGACAGCUUGUGGAGAACUGCUGAUGUUUCUUGUGAUGUCGUAAAGAAGGUGAACAAAGCACUUCUUCCUGGGCUUCACCACUGUCCUCUUCCAAAGGCUCAGCACUGCAUUUUCUGCAGCACUCACCUCGUGCCUACUGAUGCAGACAAAGACUUGAACGGCAGCAUGACUGAACAGAGAUCACAAGAUCCUUCCUGCGAUUCAUUGAUCUCAAUGAACCUCAACCUGACUGAUAUCCUCAUAAGGAGAGGUGCAGGUAAGGAAACCAGUGCCUGAAAUAAAUCACCUUGUAAGAACUGAUACUCUACCUAGAUGUGAUGCUGUUUAUUUUAUUAGCAAAACCAAAAAGUUACAGUUCAAUAACUGGUUUUGAACGUUGUUACUUGAGGAACAUCCCAGAAGUGAUUCUUAUCUUGUAGUCAUGCACAUUCUCGCUAGAAAGGAACAAUUCUUUUUCUUUCCAUUU